rnacentral:rRNA from 1 species
AGGAUAAACGCUGGCGGCGUGCCUAACACAUGCAAGUCGAACGUCCUACGCAAGUAGGGAGUGGCGGACGGGUGAGUAACACGUGGGCAAUCUACCUUUCGGUGAGGAAUACCGGCGAGAAAUCGCCGACAAUACCGCAUACGCUUCGCAAGAAGCAAAGUCGCAAGACGCCGGAGGAGGAGCCUGCGCCCGAUUAGCUGGUUGGUGGAGUAAUGGUCUACCAAGGCGACGAUCGGUAGCUGGUCUGAGAGGACGAUCAGCCACACUGGGACUGAGACACGGCCCAGACUCCUACGGGAGGCAGCAGUAGGGAAUCUUGCGCAAUGCGCGAAAGCGUGACGCAGCAACGCCGCGUGGGGGAAGAAGGCUCUCGGGUUGUAAACCCCUUUCAGUUGGGACGAAGCUUCGUCGGUUAAUAGCCGGCUGGAGUGACGGUACCUUCACAAGAAGCACCGGCUAACUACGUGCCAGCAGCCGC